rnacentral:rRNA from 1 species
UACAGAGGGUGCGAGCGUUGUCCGGAACCACUGGGCGUAAAGGGCGCGUAGGCGGUGGCUUAAGCGUGUGGUGAAAGCUUCGGGCUCAACCCGGAGUCGGCCAUGCGAACUGGGGCACUGGAGCAUGUCAGAGGCAGGCGGAAUUCCGGGUGUAGCGGUGGAAUGCGUAGAGAUCGGCAGGAACACCCAGGGGGAAACCAGCCGACUGGGCAUCUACUGACGCUGAGGUGCGAGAGCGUGGGGAGCGAACCGG